rnacentral:rRNA from 1 species
UUUGAUGACGAGUGGCGCACGGGUGCGUAACGCGUAUAGAACCUACCCUGUACAGGGGGAUAGCCCAGGGAAAUUUGGAUUAAUACCCCGUGGUAACUAUAAAUGGCAUCAUUUAUAGUUUAAAGUUUUCGGACGGUACAGGAUGGCUAUGCGUCCUAUUAGUUAGAUGGUGAGGUAACGGCUCACCAUGGCAUCGAUAGGUAGGGGCCCUGAGAGGGGGAUCCCCCACACUGGUACUGAGACACGGACCAGACUCCUACGGGAGGCAGCAGUGAGGAAUAUUGGACAAUGGGCGUAAGCCUGAUCCAGCCAUGCCGCGUGCAGGAAGACGGCCCUAUGGGUUGUAAACUGCUUUUAUACGGGAAGAAUAAGGGACACGAGUGUCCUGGUGACGGUACCGUAAGAAUAAGGACCGGCUAACUCCGUGCCAGCAGCCGCGGUAAUACGGAGGGUCCGAGCGUUAUCCGGAAUUAUUGGGUUUAAAGGGUCCGCAGGCGGGCAAUUAAGUCAGGGGUGAAAUGGUACGGCUCAACCGUAGCACUGCCCUUGAUACUGGUUGUCUUGAGUCAUAGUGAAGUGGCCGGAAUAUGUAGUGUAGCGGUGAAAUGCAUAGAUAUUACAUAGAACACCGAUUGCGAAGGCAGGUCACUAACUAUCGACUGACGCUGAUGGACGAAAGCGUGGGGGCGAACGGGAUUAGAUACCCCGGUAGUCCACGCCGUAAACGAUGGAUACUAGCUGUCCGCUGCCUUGAGCAGUGGGCGGCCCAGCGAAAGUGAUAAGUAUCCCACCUGGGGAGUACGUUCGCAAGAAUGAAACUCAAAGGAAUUGACGGGGGCCCGCACAAGCGGUGGAGCAUGUGGUUUAAUUCGAUGAUACGCGAGAAACCUUACCAGGGCUUAAAUGCAUAAUGACAGGUCUAGAGAUAGACUUUUCUUCGGACAUUUUGCAAGGUGCUGCAUGGUUGUCGUCAGC